rnacentral:rRNA from 1 species
GGGGAAUAUUGGACAAUGGGCGCAAGCCUGAUCCAGCCAUGCCGCGUGGGUGAAGAAGGCCUUCGGGUUGUAAAGCCCUUUUGUUGGGAAAGAAAAGCAGCCGGCCAAUACCCGGUUGUUCUGACGGUACCCAAAGAAUAAGCACCGGCUAACUUCGUGCCAGCAGCCGCGGUAAUACGAAGGGUGCAAGCGUUACUCGGAAUUACUGGGCGUAAAGCGUGCGUAGGUGGUGGUUUAAGUUAGAUGUGAAAACCCAGGGCUCAACCCUGGGAGUGCAUUUAAAACUGAAGGGCUCGAGUGCAGGAGAGGUAAGUGGAAUUCCUAGUGUAGCGGUGAAAUGCGUAGAUAUUAGGAGGAACACCAGUGGCGAAGGCGACUUACUGGACUGUAACUGACGCUGAGGCGCGAAAGCGUGGGGAGCAAACA